rnacentral:sRNA from 2 species
CGUGCGCCGUCGCCCAAUCCUCGGGGUCUGCCCACGCGGCAGGCCCGGGAGCCGGGGAACCACGUUCCUGGGGUGAAUCGGGUGGGCCUCGGUCCGCCCGUAGGAGACCUUCCUGCUCCGAACCCGUCAGCUAACCCGGUCGGCGCGAAGGAAGGAAAG